GAUGAAGAACGCAGCGAAAUGCGAUAAGUUGUGUGAAUUGCAGAAUUCAGUGAAUCAUCGAAUCUUUGAACGCACAUUGCGCCCCUUGGUAUUCCAUGGGGCAUGCCUGUUCGAGCGUCAUUUGUACCUUCAAGCUUUGCUUGGUGUUGGGUGUUUGUCUCGCCUUUGCGUGUAGACUCGCCUUAAAAUAAUUGGCAGCCGGCGUAUUGAUUUCGGAGCGCAGUACAUCUCGCGCUUUGCACUCAUAACGACAGCGUCCAAAAGUACAUUUUACACUCUUGACCUCGGAUCAGGUAGGGAUACCCGCUGAACUUAAGCAUAUCAAUAAGCGGAGGA
rnacentral:misc_RNA from 1 species